rnacentral:ncRNA from 1 species
GCUUAUUCUCAGGGCAGGGUGAAAUUCCUGACCGGCGGUAAUCCUGAACUUCAGGAAAGCCCGCGAGCGCCUGCCAAAGCAAUUUGGCAGGGUCAGCAGAUCCGGUGUAACUCCGGAGCCGACGGUAACAGUCCGGAUGAGAGAGGAUAAAG